UAGGAUAUGGCGCAAGGGAUAGCGCGGCCUGAAACCAUUCUCCCUGCGGUUCGGGAUGACAGGCAGAUCGAGGUUCGAUUCCUCGUGUCCGGG